rnacentral:lncRNA from 1 species
UGGAACUCUUCCUGCCAAAAACAAGGGACCUACUUCUCAUCCUAGGAGUUAGCAGGUAUGAAAGAGUCCCCUCUCUGUCUGUCUCUCCGAGUUUCUACUACUAAGUAGCACUUCUGCUAUUCAAUCAUAGAAUCGAUUCCGAUCAAGCUGAAAAAAGUCAGCCCUAUAUAUGUUAUUAGUAAAGCGCUAACGCCCUAUCUAUAGUAAGGGGGCCUUUCUUGCUCGUUAGCGCUGUUUUUUGAUUGCAGCUAGGGCGCCCCUUUUCUUUCUCAAAGUCAACUUUCUCGCUUGUUAGUCAAGCUUUGAAGUCCCUACUUUAUUUAGAUUUAUGGGAUAUUUGAAGAAGCGCAGGUUUUCCACCCUAUACCUAUACAAGGGGCUGGUCUCGAUCUCGCUUGGUGGUACCCCUCUCGAUGAUGAUUGACUCAACAUUGAUUUCGUGCUUGAGUUGGAGGGCUCUCCCUCCAUCCAUCGAGUCAAGUAAUUCGCUAUCGGAAAUUGAUCCGCCGCCUAUCUCAUGCCAUGCUUCUUCUUUCUCCGAAUCGGUUCCUAGUGUCAGUCAAUCAAGAUUCGCCAUCAAGAGAGGGAAGAGCCUUGACUUUAGGUUAGGCCGGUCUCAUCAUUCACGCAAUUCCCCCGUCCAUCGAUUGAUCACGCGAGUACGCAUCCAGUCAGCGCAUAGCGAAUGAAAAAAGCGUUCAUCCUGGAUUCUCUUCCUCAAGAAAAAUGUCUAUCAAUUGAUCCCUAUUCAUUCGGUCAAAGUCUCCACUUUUCAUGCAAUUCCCCCGUCCAUCGAUUGAUCAUGCGAGUACGCAUCCAGUCAGCGCAUAGAGAAUGAAAAAAGCGUUCAUCCUGGAUUCUCUUCCUCAAGAAAAAUGUCUAUCAAUUGAUCCCUAUUCAUUCGGUCAAAGUCUCCACUUUUCACGCCCCUCUACUAAGAGAUGCACCAUGUUGAUAGGAAUCGGCAAAGACCUUCU